rnacentral:lncRNA from 1 species
GGGUCAUAAUCUCACCCAGCCACCGCAGCAGCUGCCACCAAGACACCCACCUCUCAGAGAGCUGGGCUUGCAGACCCCUUCAUCUGACGGAUUCUCCUGAGAGCAGGCUGAAUGUUGGUCCUGAAGAUUGCUUCCAGCAGAGGACAACUGCCUCCCUUCAAGGUUGAGCUGGCCAUGAUACCUCCCAUGCCACUGUACUUCUUACAGCAUGGUGCCAAUACUCGUCCCUUUGAGAAGUGGGGUCUUUGUUCCCUUCCCUUGAGUUUUGGCAGGCCUAUGACUAUGUCAGAGGUAAAGUUAUGUGACUUCCGAGACUGGAUCAUGAACGGCAACACCGCUUCUGCCCAGUUCCUUAGAAUGAAGGAAGGCUGGCACCAUGGUGUGAGGAAGCCCAGGCUACACAGAGGCUGCAUGUGGAUGCUCCAGCCAACUGCCCCAGCCAAGGCUCAACCGCCAGACAUGGGCAUGAAGACAUCUUCAGAGCAACUCUGGCCCCAGCCACCGUGAUGGCAGGAGAGGCUCCCAGGGAGAACCAGUCAACCCCCAGGACUGUGGGACGUAGUAACAAAAUCUUGUUGGGGGCGAUGUGUUACCUAAAGAACAAUGAACAAAAAAUGCUGGUGUGUCACUGGUGCCUCCAGUGUUCCUACCUCACUGUUCUGAGACCUCACUUUUCAUA